UUAUGAAAAAAAACAGAAAAAUCGGUCACAAAUUCGGUCACUAAAUUCGUCGCAAAAGCUAAACGUAUUAGUUACCGAUUUUUAAGCUUUUUCGGUCACUAAAAGCGAGUUUUCUAGUAGUGUGAACACGUUUUUCUUUCUUGCAACCUUCUUGAUUAUUUCUUUUUUUAGUUUUACAUAAAGAUUCAUUGAGAACUAUUUUGAAGAGAUCGUUCACAGAGGAUAUAUUUUUGCAAGAAGCCCAGAUAAAAGAUCUUGUUUGGAUUUUAAAGUUUCAGUUUUUAUAGUUCUUCAAAUCUAGCAAAUGAGUUUGUUUUUGUUCAUGUUUUUUUACUCCAUGUUUGGAUCAAAAUCUAUGGCAUUGUUCUAAUGUAUUUUUGCAAUGUUCUUGUCAUUUUUUCAUAUGUAUUUGUUUUGUGUAUUUUUUCAGGGUUAAGCAGGUUCAGCUUCCGCAUGCAACUGUUGAUCCAGAAAAAGAAAAAUUGAAAAACUUGAUAACAAUAUGAAGCUAUUUUAUGGGUUUUAUAGUGUUUUACAGUGGGUUUUAUAAUGUUUUACAUUUCUUGGUCAGUUUAUGGGUUUUAUAGUGUUUUUAUAUUUUAUUUUGUUUUUGGAAAUUGUUAUUUUGUGAUUAAAAUUGGUGUAAUUUAAUUGCAGGAAGAGUGUGUGGGCUAAUUAUUGUUUAUCAUUUGAUAACAACAAGCUCGCUUCAAGAUUUGGGUGCGAGGAAUAUUUCUCAGAUUUGUUCUAUUCUAAUGAUGGUUAAUUUGACUUUUUGAAUUUUUUUUAAUCUUAGAAGCUUAAUUAAUUAAGAUUUAGGAAUUUAUUGUGGUUUUCAUAAUUGAAGGUUUUGUGUUGUAUGUGUUUUCUAAAUUUAUAAGAUCUUGUGUGUGGUUUCUUCAAGAAUGCAUGUAGCAUGUCAAAUUCUAAUGGAUUCAAGUACCGAAGUGGCUCGUAUAUAUUUUUACAAUGCCCAAAAGAUUCUCCAUUUGAAUGGUGAGUGUGGUUCUUUUGUGAAUUAGAACUUUUUUAUAAAUAGCAUCUCAAAUGGAUUCUUAGUGCUUAAUACUUUAAUAUAAAGUUUGAUUAUUUUUUCUGGAGAGAAAAAGAGAUAUUUGUGUUUAUUAUGUUCUAAUUAAGAUGUUACUAACUAAUAAAAUGUUACCUUUUUGAUUGGAUUUUAUUUAUGCAGAUGUGGUCUUGACAGUGACAAUUAUUGUAUAGUUCUUGUUAAUAUUGAGUAGAACACUUGUGAUAUUGUUAAGGGAUGUGCAUGGUCAUUUGUGCUGCUAAUUCAUCAUCAAUAGAUCUGAGUUGAUUUCUUAAUUCCUAGUUUGUAUGGUGUGCAUGGUCCUCUUUCCAAAACUUCUUUUCGUCUCUACACGACAAUCUAAACAACCCUUUCUCUUCUCUUGCCCCAAGUUGUUUUUGGAACCCUAAUUUUUGCUGACAAAAGCCUGCUUUCUUGAUAAUCUGCAAUUUUCUGCUCUGUUGGAACAAUGUCUCUUUCUCUUAUACUUUAAUUCAAAUUUCAAACAACAUAAUUAUUUUCUCUUUCUCUCUCGUCCUUUUUUUUUCUUUCUCUCUUUCUCUCUGACCUUUUAUUCCUCUUCUUCUUUCUUUUCAUUUUCAUCUUCAUCUUCCACUUCUUUGUUCUUUCUUUUCUUAACUUUGUUUUGAUGUACUGUUCUACUAUUAUAAAUAACUUAAAAUGCAAUAACGGGUGGAGAUUCAAAUGAAGAAGGAAGAGCAGUGGAUUUUCAAGAGCUGCUUCUGUGUAUAGAGGUGUGACAAGUUUUUCAGACACCGUCAACAUGGAAGGUGGAAGCCUCGAAACGGAAGGGUUGCUGGAAACAAAGACUUGUAUCUUGGUACAUUUAGUAAGUUCUCUUACCCUCCCUCGCUAAUUUGAACCCGUUUGCUUUGUCAGCUUAGCGAGUAAGGACCAUUUUGCAUAUUACAUAUUGUUAUGAUCAAUGAUCAUCUUUGGCUGUUAAAUAUUAAAUCAGUUAUGUGGUCUUUGUUCUUAUGAGUUUUGUCAACGUUUUGUGGAUGACGACAACAAUUUCUAUUGAGGAUGUAAGAAGAUAAGUGAAGAUAUUGUGAGUUAUGACUGGUCAUCCAAAUCUGGUACAAUUCUAUGAAGCCUAUGAAGACAAUGAAAAUGUUUAUAUAAUUAUGCAGUAAGUUCUUAUUACCCAUAUUUUUUGUCAUAACUUUACUUGUACCUUCAUGGUUCAAUGCUACUGAAAAGUUUGCGCAUGUUUUGAAACUCAUAAACUCACUUUGCCAUUGAUUGAGAGACUAUCAGAUUUACAAAAGCUAUAUGAAAUUAUUGUGUCAAAAUUUUGUUUAUCCAUCAAUGCUUGGGUAAUCGAGGUUUCUGUUUUUAAUGAACCUUUUGCAGUCUAUAAGGACUUUUCAAAGGAUUUACAUGAUGCAGAGUAUUGAUUUGGUUAUCGUGAGAGGAGCUAUGGUAAAUUAAAUGAUUUUCCUUUCGCCUAUAACGGAAUUUUUGCUCGACAACACAUUUACUCUCUUCUGAGGUUUGGUUAUGUUUUCUAAAACAUUGUGGUUAUGCUCACAUUGCAUAAUCAUAUACACUACAUAUGGAUCAUAGAAGGACCUAUUGUGGAUGUCCUGGUUUUAAUAAGAAAAUAAAAUCCUUGCAGGUGUAAGUCAUUACUUAUAAUCCCUCAGUAUCAUACUCUGACAUUCAUUUAGUAGCUUCUGAAAUUGCUCUAACCAUCUGUAGAUACAAAGAUGUUUCUGAGGCUGGUGUCUUCCUUCUUGAUUAACAACUUUAUGCGCGUUCGAAAUAUGUAUGACCCAUUAAUCCUCUUAGAAAAUAUAACUACUUGUGUUUAUUUGUUUGUUAUAGGUGAUGAGCAGCAGUUUUUGCAGUUACAAUCUAUUUUCUUUUAAGUUUAGUCAUACUUGUGUUUUGACAUAAUUAGCAAGCCAUGAUAAUACUGAGAAGCACCUGCAUUGAUGGGUGGUAUCUCACUGAUGUAAUGGGGUGAACAUGGAUAUCGAAUUUCUGUUAUCGAGGGUAAAUCCUCAUAGAGAUUAUUUCAUUCUCUUUUUGAAAAUGGUGUCUUAGUAGAGGUGUUUCCAGAACUGCAUACAUCAGGCAAGUGAUUUAUGGGGAAGACCGAUUGCUCAUUGUGCAGUCAGAAGAGAUUGAUGAGCUUAAAAUGCUGCACCUUAAACUUCCAAGACACUACAAAGCACCAUCCAUUGAUGAAGACAAACGGUUCCAGCCAUUCGCUUCAGUAUCUUACCAGAACAUAUUGCAGGAGUUUGAUGUUUGUGUGGACCGGGGUUGAUACGGUGCAAGUUACGGUUUUGAUUUGGUUUUCUUUGUUCUACUGCGGAUUUUGGCACUGUGAUGCAGGGUGGGACUGACACGGAUUGGUUUAUGGUCGAUAGCAUUGGUCGUUUGAAUAAUUGGGGAGAAGCCCAUUCAAUCAAAGUAGAGAAGAUAUUGUUCAAGGAAAAGUCAUUAUACCAAGAGGUCUUGGUUUUUUAGUCUGGUGACACAAUUCUCAUUCAAGAUGCAACGGGAGAAAAGGUUAGCAAGUUUAAUCAAUUUGCUACAUCAUUUUUUGGUGGCUUUGUGGUUGCUGCUACUUAGGCUCCACAUUUAGCUACAAACAUAGUUGUCAUUAUUUUGGAUUCAGUAGAGAAAUCAUCCAAGGGAGGAUUUUGAGCUUCUUCAUUAAGCUCUUGGAAGAAGUUGGAGGAGAAGAAAAAUUAACUGGCACUAAGGUAGCACAUGAGGUUGAUGCAAUAGGAAGAACAGCAGUGACAACAAUGUUAGCUGGAUGCACUGCAACUUUAACGACGUUGUUGGGUAAACGCGUGCAAACUGGUCAUUGGAAUGUUACCGAUGUAUGUAACGGUCUUCUUAGUGGUUUUGCUGCUAUAACCGCAGGUUGUUCUGCUAUAACCGUAGGUUGUUCUGCUAUAACCGUAUGAUGGGACAAUGGAGAGAUUAAUGGUGUUCACUGAGUUUUAUAUCUGUUGCUACGGUUUAGAAAGAUAGUUGUUCAAAAUAAGCCUUGUACCGAUGUUGGUUCUAUUAACAUGAUAAAUACACAUCAAUAGAAGAGAAUUGUGAUGAUAUGAAAAAUGUUAAAAAUGAAUAUUGGAAUGAACAGAUUAAAUUCA